rnacentral:lncRNA from 1 species
ACUUGUCAUUUUUACAUCAUUUCAUAUUACCAAAAACUAUUUCAUAAAAUUUAUCAUUAUUUGUUUCUUGAACCAUAAUUCUCACAUUCCAUUUUCACAUCUCAAUUCAAUGUCUUAUUUCAAAUCAAUUUACUUCAAUUCAAAUUGCUUUUAAUUUCCAAUCCAUAUACCUUCAAAUAUUCACAUAAUUCAUAAUUCAAUAUCAUUUCUUACUUCAAUUCUUUUAUUUUCCCCCUAUUAACAUGACUCGGACUUUGGCGGAUACACGGAUCCAACCAAACACACCAGUACGGCACCCAGUGCCUCAUCGGAUAGUUCGAAGCAAUAGUUGACACCCAGUGUCUCAUCGGCAAAGCCGAAGUAAGUUGGUACCCAGUACCUCAUCGAAUCUAUCCGAAGUAACAGUAUGACACCCAGUGUCUCAUCGACUCAAGGUCGAAGUAUCCCUGAACACUUCCAAUCCUAUGGCAUGCCAACUAUAUCCGACUCAGCCCGACUAGUUAAUAGGGUUUCCGAAUCACAUUUCAAUUCAAUCACUUUCUCAUACUUUCAAUUCAAAUCAUUAUACAAUUUAAUCACCAUUUGAUUCAAUAUAUUUUUCUAUUUCAAAUUCACUUCCCACUUUCAAAUCAAUAUACAAUUCAGCACCAAUACAUAUUUCACAAAUCAUACCUCGAUUCGAAUCAAACCACUUUUCAGUCAAUACUCAAUUCACGUAUUCACACUUAUUCAUAAUUUAAUUCACUUUUAUUCAAUUCAUAUUUUUAAUUCAUUCAAUUAAAUAUCGAUAUUCUCCUUAUUUUUAUUUACUAAACAUAUUAUUCAAAAUUCAACAAUUACUAUCAAUAAAUUCAAUAUCAAUAUGUAUAUAUAUAUAUAUAUAUAUAUAUUUCAUUCGAUUCAAUCAUGAUACUCACCUCAAUUUUCUUAUCAUGUAUAUUAAUUUAAAUUUUAACAAUUAAUAAUUAAAUUCAAAUUAUGGUAAUACUAACCGUAAAUUUUCUCGAGUCACUCCUUGAUCACCUUCCCCUUUCCUUUCUCGACAAUGACUCUUGCACGACAUUAGCUACGUAAUUAAACAAUUAAAAAUUAUUAAUACACAAUUUCAUCAAAACAUUUCCAUUUAUACCUAAGCUUUACCUAAAUUCUAAUUUAAUCCCUUAUCAAUACUAAUUUUAUUUUCCCAAUCUAACUCCAUAUUCUCUCUUAAUUCUUACUAAAAACUCAUUUUAACUCUUUAUUUUCACCAUAAAUCCCUAAUUUCGGGAUUCUUUCAAUUUAGUCCCUACUAUUCAAAACUUACACUUUAUUUUACAAUUAAAUCCUUUACUAACUUCUAACUUGAAAUUCAAUCAAUUUAACCCCUAAUUCUUUCAUUUAUUCAACAUAAUCAAUGUCUAGAAAUAUAUCAUAUUCCCAAAUUUCAACAUAAACCAUGAAAUAUUUUGUUCUAGAACUCCAAAAACUCAAAAAUUAUAAGAAAAUAACUUAAUUUGACUUACCAAUUGAGCUUGAAACCUUGAAACCCCAAAUUUUCUAACUUAAUUUGACUUACCAAUUGAGCUUGAAACCUUGAAACCCCAAAUUUUCUUUCUUUCCUUCCCUUUUUCUUUUUCU